rnacentral:lncRNA from 1 species
AGAAGUUUACUACCAUCUUUGGAAUGAUUCCAAUGUCAGAAGUCACAGCAAUGAGAUCAUUCUGGAAGAUGUAAAUGCUGUAUGCAUAUAUGUUACAUGGUAGAUGAUAAACACUAGUAUAAACAGUAUAUAAUAUGAGUGAUCUAUUUACUCUGGUGGAGUUGCUAUUGAUGUUCUCAGUCCUGUUUAAUCUUGGUCAUUCUUCACUUCAUACAAUAUUUUAUCUUUCCUAUCAUGGUGAGUCACAUACCUAUUACCUCCCAUCACUUUCACCUUGUGAUUUCUGCUUCAUUAAAGGAUUCGUGUAUUCAUCAAAUUUAGUAACUGGACUUACUUUGGCCAGUGACACAGGCAGUUUUGACAAAUGCUCCAAUAAGGGUUAAUCGCAACAGACGUAAGAAACAGAGUGCAAUUGUUAAAAACAUUUAUCAACAACUUUGCUGUGCUUUGCCCAACAAAAUUGAUAUUAAUGAGAUGCUUUGUAAAUAUUGCAUGCUACAUGAACUGCUUAGGAUUAUUUCUUUUUCCCUAUGAAACAAAUCAGUUCUAAUUAAAAAUUAAAACACAAUUAUUUCACCCUGUCUUUGAGAUGUUACAUUUGAAAUUAUAAUAUUUGUUUCUGUUAUGGUUUUGUAAUUUUGCUAUUGGUAUUCCACAUCAUAACAUCAUGUACAGCACGGGUAAUUAAAGAGUUAAUACUCCAGUUCCAUGGAUUGACAACUUUCCAGAUACCUGCUUCUCAAAAGAGAAGAACUACAUAUCCCAGGGGACCUCAUGGUCAGAGGAGGAAGAUAUGUCACAGAAGUCACAGGAUCUUGUUCUUGGAUGGGAUCUCUCUCUCUCUUUCACUGGCAGAGGGUGCAGGUGUGCAUCCAAGCUGUGCGCCUUCAUUCAAGUAGGCCUUACCAUUUUGGAAGCUCUUUUAUUUUAUUUAUUAUCCUCAACUUCAAUUAGGUUGUAUUAUAUUGUGUUAUCUUGCAUCCUGAUAUAAAAGUUGGUAAAAUAAGCCUUCCUCCUCAGAUUGUUGCCGCUGCUCUUUUUCUCUCUCUGAGCCCAGCUCCCAUUACCCUACUCCUUUCCCUUUUCCCUUCCUAUUUUUGGGAGCCAGGAGGUCCACAGGCCUACUGCCCCCCUGUCACAGGCAUAGACUGAUAUAGAUAACUCUGACAGUUUCUGAAGUGCUCAGUGGUGACUUAUCCACAAACUCCAUGUUUCCCUUUUGGGUCUUUCAUUAUCACCCUGAGAUUUAGAAGGGUAUUCCUCUUGCUGAAAAUUUUGCCCAGUCUUUGAAUUCACAGAAUUAGUACUUGAUUGACUGCUGAUGACUUUAGAAGAGAAUAGGGGAGUACCAUGCGUUCAAAGGUUUUCUUGCAAAUCACAUCU